rnacentral:rRNA from 1 species
GACGAACGCUGGCGGCGUGCCUAAUACAUGCAAGUAGAACGCUGAAGCUUGGUGCUUGCACCGAGCGGAUGAGUUGCGAACGGGUGAGUAACGCGUAGGUAACCUGCCUGGUAGCGGGGGAUAACUAUUGGAAACGAUAGCUAAUACCGCAUAAGAGUAGAUGUUGCAUUACAUUUGCUUAAAAGGUGCAAUUGCAUCACUACCAGAUGGACCCGCGUUGUAUUAGCUAGUUGGUGAGGUAACGGCUCACCAAGGCAACGAGACAUAGCCGACCUGAGAGGGUGAUCGGCCACACUGGGACUGAGACACGGCCCAGACUCCUACGGGAGGCAGCAGUAGGGAAUCUUCGGCAAUGGACGGAAGUCUGACCGAGCAACGCCGCGGGAGUGAAGAAGGGUGUCGGAUCGUAAAGCUCGGUUGUAAGAGAAGAACGAGUGUGAGAGUGGAAAGUUCACACUGUGACGGUAUCUUACCAGAAAGGGACGGCUAACUACGUG